UACGUAGGGUGCGAGCGUUGUCCGGAAUUAUUGGGCGUAAAGAGCUCGUAGGCGGUUUGUCGCGUCUGCUGUGAAAACUCGGGGCUCAACCCCGAGCUUGCAGUGGGUACGGGCAGACUAGAGUGCGGUAGGGGAGACUGGAAUUCCUGGUGUAGCGGUGGAAUGCGCAGAUAUCAGGAGGAACACCGGUGGCGAAGGCGGGUCUCUGGGCCGUAACUGACGCUGAGGAGCGAAAGCAUGGGGAGCGAACAGG
rnacentral:rRNA from 1 species